rnacentral:ncRNA from 1 species
CGAAAAGCGUUGACAGGAAGCAGUAGGAAGCCCCUCUUUCUAAGAGAGCCGAUGGGUGGUGCGAAUCGGUGAAAGAUGCUGUCUGAAUCCAUCCUUGAGCGAAAUGCUGAAUUGAGUAGGCAUUUACGGGAUAACCGUUAUGUGUUAAAGCGGAAAAUAAGUUUUUUUAACUUGUUUUCAAUCAGGGUGGCAACGCGAGAGCUCUCGUCCCUUUC